UACGUAGGGUGCGAGCGUUAAUCGGAAUUACUGGGCGUAAAGCGUGCGCAGGCGGCGCGUUAAGACAGGUGUGAAAGCCCCGGCCUUAACCUGGGAACUGCAUUUGUGACUGCAUCGCUGGAGUGCGGCAGAGGGGGAUGGAAUUCCGCGUGUAGCAGUGAAAUGCGUAGAUAUGCGGAGGAACACCGAUGGCGAAGGCAAUCCCCUGGGCCUGCACUGACGCUCAUGCACGAAAGCGUGGGGAGCAAACAGG
rnacentral:rRNA from 1 species